UACAGAGGAGCCAAGCGUUGUUCGGAAUUACUGGGCGUAAAGCGCGUGUAGGCGGUUGCCAAAGUCGGGUGUGAAAGCCUUGAGCUCAACUCAAGAAUUGCACUCGAUACUUGGUGACUAGAGGACCGGAGAGGAUAGUGGAAUUCCCGGUGUAGCGGUGAAAUGCGCAGAUAUCGGGAAGAACACCCGUGGCGAAGGCGGCUCUCUGGGACGGUACUGACGCUGAGACGCGAAAGCGUGGGGAGCGAACAGG
rnacentral:rRNA from 1 species